GACUCAGGGAGGUAGUGACAAGAAAUAACAACGCUAGGACUUUGUCCUGCGAUUGGAAUGAGUACAACGUAAAAUCCUUAACGAGUACCCACUGGAGGGCAAGUCUGGUGCCAGCAGCCGCGGUAAUUCCAGCUCCAGUAGCGUAUAUUAAAGUUGUUGCAGUUAAAAAGCUCGUAGUUGAAUUUCUGCGUAUGCCUAGUUCUGGCUUUGGUCAAGCUAGUGUGUGCGCAUCCGCUUGCAAAUCCGGACCGGCGUUUACUCGUCGACCGGGGGAGUAGGCCCUUUACCUUGAAAAAAUUAGAGUGUUUCAGGCAGGCAAUGGCUCGAAUACAUUAGCAUGGAAUAAUAGAAUAGGACUUUUGUCUAUUUGGUUGGUUAUUAGACAUGAGUAAUGAUUAAAAGGGACAGUUGGGGGCAUUAGUAUUUAAUAGUCAGAGGUAAAAUUCUUGGAUUUAUUAAAUACUAACUUAUGCGAAAGCAUUUGCCAAGGAUGUUUUCAUUAAUCAAGAACGAAAGUUGGGGGCUCGAAGACGAUCAGAU
rnacentral:rRNA from 1 species